CCUACGGGUGGCAGCAGUGAGGAAUAUUGGUCAAUGGCCGGAAGGCUGAACCAGCCAAGCCGCGUGAAGGACGAAGGUGCCAAGCAUUGUAAACUUCUUUUGUCAAGGGACAAAAUCAGGCUCGAGAGCCUGACCGAGGGUACUUGAAGAAAAAGCAUCGGCUAACUCCGUGCCAGCAGCCGCGGUAAUACGGAGGAUGCGAGCGUUAUCCGGAUUUAUUGGGGGAAAGGGGUGCGUAGGCGGACUGUUAAGUCAGCGGUAAAAGCCCGGGGCUCAACCCCGGCGAGCCGUUGAAACUGGCUGUCUUGAGAUGUCGAGAGGUAGGCGGAAUGCGCAGUGUAGCGGUGAAAUGCGUAGAUAUUGCGCAGAACGCCGAUUGCGAAGGCAGCAUACCGGCGGCGAUCUGACGCUGAGGCACGAAAGCGUGGGGAGCGAACAGGAUUAGAUACCCUAGUAGUC
rnacentral:rRNA from 1 species